rfam:Schistosoma rodhaini strain Burundi genome assembly, scaffold: SROB_scaffold0003605
GCACUGCUGAGGAGUCCCAUAAUAGGAUGAAACGGCCUUCAAGCAGUAU